rnacentral:lncRNA from 1 species
CGAUAGAAGUAAAAAAGGAUCGGUCCCCUAUCCACACUAUAAGAAAAGAGAAUUUUUAUGAUAAAUUUAUUUGCGAUGGAUUAUAUUUUCAUGGCAACUAAUAUUAUUUACGAUGAAAAAUUAUUUUCAUCGUUAAUAAUAAAAUAUUUACGAUAAUUUUUUUAUCGUAAAUAAAUUAUAUUAGUGAUGAAAAAAAAUUUAUCAUAAAUAUAAAUCAUUUGCGAUGAU